rnacentral:rRNA from 1 species
UACGUAGGGUGCGAGCGUUGUCCGGAAUUAUUGGGCGUAAAGAGCUUGUAGGCGGUUUGUCGCGUCUGCUGUGAAAAUCCGGGGCCCAACUCCGGACUUGCAGUGGGUACGGGCAGGCUAGAGUGUGGUAGGGGAGACUGGAAUUCCUGGUGUAGCGGUGGAAUGCGCAGAUACCAGGAGGAACACCGGUGGCGAAGGCGGUGGGCUGGGCCGGUACUGACGCUGAGGAGCGAAAGCGUGGGGAGCAAACAGG